rnacentral:rRNA from 1 species
CCGAAGACUUAGUGGCGAACGGGUGCGUAACACGUGAGAAAUCUGCCCCGGACUUCGGAAUAACAGUUGGAAACGACUGCUAAUACCGGAUGCCUUCAUUUGACCGCAUGGUUGUUUGAAGAAAGAUUUAUCGGUUUGGGAGGAUCUCGCGGCCUAUCAGCUUGUUGGAGAGGUAACGGCUCACCAAGGCUUCGACGGGUAGCUGGUCUGAGAGGAUGAUCAGCCACACUGGAACUGAGACACGGUCCAGACUCCUACGGGAGGCAGCAGUGGGGAAUCUUGCACAAUGGGCGCAAGCCUGAUGCAGCGAUGCCGCGUGCGGGAAGAAGGCCUUAGGGUUGUAAACCGCUUUCAGGAGGGAAGAAAAUGACGGUACCUCCAGAAGAAGGUGCGGCCAACUACGUGCCAGCAGCCGCGGUGACACGUAGGCACCAAGCGUUAUCCGGAUUUAUUGGGCGUAAAGAGCUCGUAGGCGGUUUGGUAAGUCGGGUGUGAAAACUCUGGGCUCGACCCAGAGAGGCCACUCGAUACUGCUAUGACUAGAGUACGGUAGGGGAGCGGGGAAUUCCUGGUGUAGCGGUGAAAUGCGCAGAUAUCAGGAGGAACACCAGCGGCGAAGGCGCCGCUCUGGGCCGUAACUGACGCUGAGGAGCGAAAGCAUGGGUAGCAAACAGGAUUAGAUACCCUGGUAGUCCAUC